UCGGGAAUCUUGUGCAAUGGGCGAAAGCCUGACGCAGCAACGCCGCGUGAGGGAUGAAGGCCUUCGGGUCGUAAACCUCUGUCGGAAGGGAAGAACGGUUGCCGUUCGAACAGGGCGGCAGCCUGACGGUACCUUCAAAGGAAGCGCCGGCUAACUCCGUGCCAGCAGCCGCGGUAAUACGGAGGGCGCAAGCGUUGUUCGGAAUCAUUGGGCGUAAAGCGCACGUAGGCGGCUUGGCAAGUCGGACGUGAAAGCCCGGGGCUCAACCCCGGAACUGCGCUCGAAACUGCCUCGCUAGAGUCCCGGAGAGGAAGGCGGAAUUCCCGGUGUAGAGGUGAAAUUCGUAGAUAUCGGGAGGAACACCAGCGGCGAAGGCGGCCUUCUGGACGGUGACUGACGCUGAGGUGCGAAAGCGUGGGGAGCAAACAGGAUUAGAUACCCCUGUAGUCC
rnacentral:rRNA from 1 species